AGAGAACGAGAGGGCGGAUGUAGCCAAGUGGAUCAAGGCAGUGGAUUGUGAAUC
rnacentral:tRNA from 1 species